rnacentral:rRNA from 1 species
UUCGACACACUAUCAUUAACUGAAUCCAUAGGUUAAUGAGGCGAACCGGGGGAACUGAAACAUCUAAGUACCCCGAGGAAAAGAAAUCAACCGAGAUUCCCCCAGUAGCGGCGAGCGAACGGGGAGGAGCCCAGAGCCUGAAUCAGUGUGUGUGUUAGUGGAAGCGUCUGGAAAGGCGCGCGAUACAGGGUGACAGCCCCGUACACAAAAAUGCACAUAUUGUGAGCUCGAUGAGUAGGGCGGGACACGUGGUAUCCUGUCUGAAUAUGGGGGGACCAUCCUCCAAGGCUAAAUACUCCUGACUGACCGAUAGUGAACCAGUACCGUGAGGGAAAGGCGAAAAGAACCCCGGCGAGGGGAGUGAAAAAGAACCUGAAACCGUGUACGUACAAGCAGUGGGAGCCUCUUAAUGGGGUGACUGCGUACCUUUUGUAUAAUGGGUCAGCGACUUAUAUUCUGUAGCAAGGUUAACCGAAUAGGGGAGCCGAAGGGAAACCGAGUCUUAACUGGGCGUUAAGUUGCAGGGUAUAGACCCGAAACCCGGUGAUCUAGCCAUGGGCAGGUUGAAGGUUGGGUAACACUAACUGGAGGACCGAACCGACUAAUGUUGAAAAAUUAGCGGAUGACUUGUGGCUGGGGGUGAAAGGCCAAUCAAACCGGGAGAUAGCUGGUUCUCCCCGAAAGCUAUUUAGGUAGCGCCUCGUGAAUUCAUCUCCGGGGGUAGAGCACUGUUUCGGCAAGGGGGUCAUCCCGACUUACCAACCCGAUGCAAACUGCGAAUACCGGAGAAUGUUAUCACGGGAGACACACGGCGGGUGCUAACGUCCGUCGUGAAGAGGGAAACAACCCAGACCGCCAGCUAAGGUCCCAAAGUCAUGGUUAAGUGGGAAACGAUGUGGGAAGGCCCAGACAGCCAGGAUGUUGGCUUAGAAGCAGCCAUCAUUUAAAGAAAGCGUAAUAGCUCACUGGUCGAGUCGGCCUGCGCGGAAGAUGUAACGGGGCUAAACCAUGCACCGAAGCUGCGGCAGCGACACUAUGUGUUGUUGGGUAGGGGAGCGUUCUGUAAGCCUGUGAAGGUGGCCUGUGAGGG